UGUUUGGAGACCUGACUUGCUCUUUUUUCCUGCUCAUAUCACCAUUAAUUCUUUCCUUUAUUCUCAGUCUUGCUUCCAGAUGCUGAUUCCUUCAGGCCAUCGUAUUAAUGCCAAGAAUGCAAGUAACUGUUAAAAGUCGGGUUAAGAUGUGGUCACUGGGCCUGAGGGAUGCUAAUUGCCUGCCUCCUUCGGGAUUGCCUUUCCCAGGUUCUGGUCAACGGGGGUUUGUGUUUUUCAGGCUGAAGCAGUACUAGCUUAACCCAGGACAACUGGUUACUUUAGAAGGAAAU
rnacentral:lncRNA from 10 species